UUAACGCGAAAGAACCUUACCUACUCUUGACAUCCAGAGAACUUAGCAGAGAUGGAUUGGUUCCUUCGGGAACUCUGAGACAGGUGGUGCAUGGCUGUCGUCAGCUCGUGUUGUGAAAUGUUGGGUUAAGUCCCGCAACGAGCGCAACCCUUAUCCUUUGUUGCCAGCGGUCCGGCCGGGCACUCAAAGGAGACUGCCAGUGAUAAACUGGAGGAAGGUGGGGAUGACGUCAAGUCAUCAUGGCCCUUACGAGUAGGGCUACACACGUGCUACAAUGGCGCAUACAAAGAGAAGCGACCUCGCGAGAGCAAGCGGACCUCAUAAAGUGCGUCGUAGUCCGGAUUGGAGUCUGCAACUCGACUCCAUGAAGUCGGAAUCGCUAGUAAUCGUAGAUCAGAAAGCGAAAAUUUCC
rnacentral:rRNA from 1 species